CUGAAUAGGGCGCAUAAGUAACAGGUCGUAGACCCGAAACCAGGUGAUCUACCCAUGUCCAGGAUGAAGGUAAGGUAAUACUUACUGGAGGUCCGAACCCACGCACGUUGAAAAGUGCGGGGAUGAGGUGUGGGUAGCGGAGAAAUUCCAAUCGAACUUGGAGAUAGCUGGUUCUCUCCGAAAUAGCUUUAGGGCUAGCCUCGAGGUAAAGAGUCAUGGAGGUAGAGCACUGUUUGGACUAGGGGCCCUUCUCGGGUUACCGAAUUCAGAUAAACUCCGAAUGCCAUGUACUUAUACUCGGGAGUCAGACUGCGAGUGAUAAGAUCCGUAGUCGAAAGGGAAACAGCCCAGACCACCAGUUAAGGUCCCCAAAUAUAUGUUAAGUGGAAAAGGAUGUGGGGUUGCUUAGACAACCAGGAUGUUGGCUUAGAAGCAGCCACCAUUGAAAGAGUGCGUAAUAGCUCACUGGUCGAGUGACCCCGCGCCGAAAAUGUACCGGGGCUAAACAUAUUACCGAAACUGUGGAUGAACCUCUUUAGAGGUUCGUGGUAGGAGAGCGUUCUAAGGGCGGUGAAGUCAGACCGGAAGGACUGGUGGAGCGCUUAGAAGUGAGAAUGCCGGUAUGAGUAGCGAAAGAAGGGUGAGAAUCCCUUCCACCGAAUAUCUAAGGUUUCCUGAGGAAGGCUCGUCCGCUCAGGGUUAGUCGGGACCUAAGCCGAGGCCGAUAGGCGUAGGCGAUGGACAACAGGUAGAGAUUCCUGUACCAGUGCUAAUUGUUUAACCGAUGGGGUGACACAGAAGGAUAGGGAAUCGCACGAAUGGAAAUGUGCGUCCAAGCAGUGAGUGUGAGAAGUAGGCAAAUCCGCUUCUCGCGAAGCAUGAGCUGUGAUGGGGAAGGAAAUUAAGUACGGAAGUUCCUGAUUUCACGCUGUCAAGAAAAGCCUCUAGGAAGAGUAGUACUGCCCGUACCGCAAACCGACACAGGUAGAUGAGGAGAGAAUCCUAAGGUGAGCGAGAGAACUCUCGUUAAGGAACUCGGCAAAAUGACCCCGUAACUUCGGGAGAAGGGGUGCUCUAUUAGGGUGCAAGCCCGAGAGAGCCGCAGUGAAUAGGCCCAGGCGACUGUUUAGCAAAAACACAGGUCUCUGCAAAACCGUAAGGUGACGUAUAGGGGCUGACGCCUGCCCGGUGCUGGAAGGUUAAGAGGAGUGCUUAGCUUCGGCGAAGGUACGAAUUGAAGCCCCAGUAAACGGCGGCCGUAACUAUAACGGUCCUAAGGUAGCGAAAUUCCUUGUCGGGUAAGUUCCGACCCGCACGAAAGGCGCAACGAUCUGGGCACUGUCUCAACGAGAGACUCGGUGAAAUUAUAGUACCUGUGAAGAUGCAGGUUACCCGCGACAGGACGGAAAGACCCCGUGGAGCUUUACUGCAACCUGAUAUGGAAUGUUUGUACCGCUUGUACAGGAUAGGUAGGAGCCGAAGAGACGUGUGCGCUAGCAUACGAGGAGGCAAUGGUGGGAUACUACCCUGGCUGUAUGACCAUUCUAACCCGCCACGCUUAGCGCGUGGGGAGACAGUGUCAGGUGGGCAGUUUGACUGGGGCGGUCGCCUCCUAAAGAGUAACGGAGGCGCCCAAAGGUUCCCUCAGAAUGGAUGGAAAUCAUUCGCAGAGUGUAAAGGCACAAGGGAGCUUGACUGCGAGACUGACAAGUCGAGCAGGGACGAAAGUCGGGCUUAGUGAUCCGGUGGUUCCGCAUGGAAGGGCCAUCGCUCAACGGAUAAAAGCUACCCCGGGGAUAACAGGCUUAUCUCCCCCAAGAGUCCACAUCGACGGGGAGGUUUGGCACCUCGAUGUCGGCUCGUCGCAUCCUGGGGCUGUAGUCGGUCCCAAGGGUUGGGCUGUUCGCCCAUUAAAGCGGCACGCGAGCUGGGUUCAGAACGUCGUGAGACAGUUCGGUCCCUAUCCGUCGCGGGCGCAGGAAAUUUGAGAGGAGCUGUCCUUAGUACGAGAGGACCGGGAUGGACACACCGCUGGUGUACCAGUUGUUCCGCCAGGAGCAUCGCUGGGUAGCUAUGUGUGGCAGGGAUAAACGCUGAAAGCAUCUAAGCGUGAAGCCCCCCUCAAGAUGAGAUUUCCCAUUUCUUCGGAAAGUAAGAUCCCUGAAAGAUGAUCAGGUAGAUAGGUUUGGAGUGGAAGUGUAGCGAUACAUGGAGCGGACAAAUACUAAUCGA
rnacentral:rRNA from 1 species